rnacentral:rRNA from 1 species
CCCUUAGACGUUCUGGGCCGCACGCGCGCUACACUGACCAGUGCAACAAGCAUCCGUCCUUGGCCGACAGGCUCGGGCAAUCUGUGAACGCUGGUCGUGAUGGGGAUAGACUUUUGCAAUUUUUGGUCUUCAACGAGGAAUUCCUAGUAAACGCAAGUCAUCAACUUGCAUUGAUUACGUCCCUGCCCUUUGUACACACCGCCCGUCGCACCUACCGAUUGAAUGGUCCGGUGAAGCCUCCGGAUUGGCGCGCACCUCGGUGCCGCCGAGAAGUUGGCUAAACCUUACCAUUUAGAGGAAGGUGAAGUCGUAACA